rnacentral:rRNA from 1 species
UAGGGAAUCUUCCACAAUGGACGAAAGUCUGAUGGAGCAACGCCGCGUGAGUGAUGAAGGGUUUCGGCUCGUAAAACUCUGUUGUUGGAGAAGAACAGGUGUGAGAGUAACUGUUCACAUCUUGACGGUAUCCAACCAGAAAGCCACGGCUAACUACGUGCCAGCAGCCGCGGUAAUACGUAGGUGGCAAGCGUUGUCCGGAUUUAUUGGGCGUAAAGCGAGCGCAGGCGGUUUCUUAGGUCUGAUGUGAAAGCCUUCGGCUUAACCGGAGAAGUGCAUCGGAAACCAGGAGACUUGAGUGCAGAAGAGGACAGUGGAACUCCAUGUGUAGCGGUGAAAAUGCGUAGAUAUAUGGAAGAACACCAGUGGCGAAGGCGGCUGUCUGGUCUGUAACUGACGCUGAGGCUCGAAAAGCAUGGGUAGCGAACAGGAUUAGAUAACCCUGGUAGUCCAUGCCGUAAAACGAUGAGUGCUAAGUGUUGGAGGGUUUCCGCCCUUCAGUGCUGC